rnacentral:hammerhead_ribozyme from 1 species
AUCAAGCUGACGAGUCCCAAAUAGGACGAAACGCGCGUCCAACUGGAU